rnacentral:rRNA from 1 species
UGGGGAAUAUUGCACAAUGGGCGCAAGCCUGAUGCAGCCAUGCCGCGUGUAUGAAGAAGGCCUUCGGGUUGUAAAGUACUUUCAGCGGGGAGGAAGGGAGUAAAGUUAAUACCUUUGCUCAUUGACGUUACCCGCAGAAGAAGCACCGGCUAACUCCGUGCCAGCAGCCGCGGUAAUACGGAGGGUGCAAGCGUUAAUCGGAAUUACUGGGCGUAAAGCGCACGCAGGCGGUUUGUUAAGUCAGAUGUGAAAUCCCCGGGCUCAACCUGGGAGAUGCAUCUGAUACUGGCAAGCUUGAGUCUCGUAGAGGGGGGUAGAAUUCCAGGUGUAGCGGUGAAAUGCGUAGAGAUGUGGAGGAAUACCGGUGGCGAAGGCGGCCCCCUGGACAAAGACUGACGCUCAGGUGCGAAAGCGUGGGGAGCAAACAGG